UACGUAGGUGGCAAGCGUUGUCCGGAAUUAUUGGGCGUAAAGCGCGCGCAGGCGGUCCUUUAAGUCUGAUGUGAAAGCCCACGGCUCAACCGUGGAGGGUCAUUGGAAACUGGGGGACUUGAGUGCAGGAGAGAAGAGUGGAAUUCACGGUGUAGCGGUGAAAUGCGUAGAGUAUGUGAGGAACACCAGUGGCGAAGGCGGACUCC
rnacentral:rRNA from 1 species